rnacentral:rRNA from 1 species
UACAGAGGUCUCAAGCGUUGUUCGGAUUCAUUGGGCGUAAAGGGUGUGUAGGUGGCGCGCUAAGUCGGGUGUGAAAUUUCGGAGCUUAACUCCGAGACUGCAUUCGAUACUGGCGUGCUUGAGGACUGGAGAGGAGACUGGAAUUCAUGGUGUAGCAGUGAAAUGCGUAGAGAUCAUGAGGAAGACCAGUGGCGAAGGCGGGUCUCUGGACAGUUCCUGACGCUGAGGCACGAAGGUCAGGGGAGCAAACGGG